UGGCGGCGUGCCUAACACAUGCAAGUCGAACGAAGCAUUUGGAGUUGAUCCUUCGGGGUGACGCACCUUAUGACUUAGUGGCGGACGGGUGAGUAACACGUGAGCAACCUGCCUCUCAGAGUGGAAUAACAGUUGGAAACGGCUGCUAAUACCACAUAACGUUUUUGUGCCGCAUGACACUUCAACCAAAGAUUUAUCGCUGAGAGAUGGGCUCGCGUCCGAUUAGGUAGAUGGUGGGGUAACGGCCUACCAUGCCGACGAUCGGUAGCCGGACUGAGAGGUUGAUCGGCCACAUUGGGACUGAGACACGGCCCAGACUCCUACGGGAGGCAGCAGUGGGGAUAUUGCACAAUGGGGGAAACCCUGACGCAGCGACGCCCGCGUGAGCGAAGAAGGCCUUAGGGUCGUAAAGCUCUGUUUUAAGGGACGAAUGUCGCGGGUAAUAAUACGAUCUGCGAAUGACGGUACCUUAAGAGGAAGCCCCGGCUAACUACGUGCCAGCCGCCGC
rnacentral:rRNA from 1 species